UCCGCCAUGGCUGAGAGAUGGAAAGACGGAAAGUCGGAAAGGCAAAGUGUCGAGCAACUAAGUGCUUCACAGCAAUAACUCAAUUAUUGGAAGUAUUUAUUUUAUAGACAGGCUAAAUGCUGACAGCAAGUAAAGGGGCGUAAAAUCAAAUGGGAGAACAAGUGUGGCUGCGAGAGUGGAGGGGAAAACCUGACAGUUAUAUAUAAUUUACUUCUUAUUGAAUGGCUUGACUUUGGCCAUUAAUCAACUGUUUUUCAGCAAAAUAUACAUACAUAUAUACACAUUCUGCAAAAUACUUGGAUCACUCAACAAUGCGACAAUCUCCGGAAUAGAUGAGCCCAAUUUGACGGAGUUGAUUUAAAAAGGAAUAUCACGGCAGAAGAGAAUAGAAAAGAGAAAGCAAAGGACGAACUUAGCUCAACAGCCGACCUUCCUUUGAGACUAAAAGCAUACGACGAUAGCGGGAAUGGAACAACUAUUCCUUAUUUCAUUUUGUGCUGGCAUCCGAAUGUACAAGGCGAAAGAAAAAAAACCAUUUCAGACGGUCGACUGCUACCACCUUUAAUAGAUUCGCCGUGAAAAAAUAUAGUUCUUUGCAUAACAAAAACCUUGUAAAUCCAAAUACAAAACUUUGUGCAAAAUUCAAAACAAAAUUUAACAAAUUUAAAAAAAUUCUCGUACAAAUUUUCAACUUUUUAGUUA